GUUGUAUGGUUAAGUGACUAAGCGUACACGGUGGAUGCCUGGGCAGUCAGAGGCGAUGAAGGACGUACUAACUUGCGAUAAGCGCAGAUAAGGCAGUAAGAGCCGUUUGAGUCUGCGAUUUCCGAAUGGGGAAACCCAACUGCAUAAGCAGUUACUGUUAACUGAAUACAUAGGUUAACAGAGCAAACCGGGGGAACUGAAACAUCUAAGUACCCCGAGGAGAAGAAAUCAACCGAGAUUCCGGUAGUAGCGGCGAGCGAACCUGGAUUAGCCCUUAAGCACUCGGUGAAGUAGGUGAACAAGCUGGAAAGCUUGGCGAUACAGGGUGAUAGCCCCGUAACCGACGCUUCAUCGAGCGUGAAAUCGAGUAGGGCGGGACACGUGAUAUCCUGUCUGAAUAUGGGGGGACCAUCCUCCAAGGCUAAAUACUCCUGACUGACCGAUAGUGAACCAGUACCGUGAGGGAAAGGCGAAAAGAACCCCUGUGAGGGGAGUGAAAUAGAACCUGAAACCGUGUACGUACAAGCAGUAGGAGCACCUUCGUGGUGUGACUGCGUACCUUUUGUAUAAUGGGUCAGCGACUUAUAUUCAGUGGCAAGGUUAACCGUAUAGGGGAGCCGUAGCGAAAGCGAGUCUUAACUGGGCGUUCAGUCUCUGGAUAUAGACCCGAAACCGGGUGAUCUAGCCAUGGGCAGGUUGAAGGUUGAGUAACAUCAACUGGAGGACCGAACCGACUAAUGUUGAAAAAUUAGCGGAUGACUUGUGGCUAGGGGUGAAAGGCCAAUCAAACUCGGAGAUAGCUGGUUCUCCCGAAAGCUAUUUAGGUAGCGCCUCGGACGAAUACUACUGGGGGUAGAGCACUGUUAAGGCUAGGGGGUCAUCCCGACUUACCAACCCUUUGCAAACUCCGAAUACCAGUAAGUACUAUCCGGGAGACACACGGCGGGUGCUAACGUCCGUCGUGGAGAGGGAAACAACCCAGACCGCCAGCUAAGGUCCCAAAGUAUUGCUAAGUGGGAAACGAUGUGGGAAGGCUCAGACAGCUAGGAUGUUGGCUUAGAAGCAGCCAUCAUUUAAAGAAAGCGUAAUAGCUCACUAGUCGAGUCGGCCUGCGCGGAAGAUGUAACGGGGCUAAGCAAUACACCGAAGCUGCGGCAAUGUCUUUUAGACAUUGGGUAGGGGAGCGUUCUGUAAGCCGUUGAAGGUGAAUCGUAAGGUUUGCUGGAGGUAUCAGAAGUGCGAAUGCUGACAUGAGUAACGACAAAGGGGGUGAAAAACCUCCUCGCCGGAAGACCAAGGGUUCCUGUCCAACGUUAAUCGGGGCAGGGUGAGUCGACCCCUAAGGUGAGGCCGAAAGGCGUAAUCGAUGGGAAACGGGUUAAUAUUCCCGUACUUCUGACUAUUGCGAUGGGGGGACGGAGAAGGCUAGGUGGGCCAGGCGACGGUUGUCCUGGUUCAAGUGCGUAGGCUUGAGAGUUAGGUAAAUCCGGCUCUCUCUAAGGCUGAGACACGACGUCGAGCUACUACGGUAGUGAAGUCAUUGAUGCCAUGCUUCCAGGAAAAGCCUCUAAGCUUCAGAUAGUUAGGAAUCGUACCCCAAACCGACACAGGUGGUCGGGUAGAGAAUACCAAGGCGCUUGAGAGAACUCGGGUGAAGGAACUAGGCAAAAUGGUACCGUAACUUCGGGAGAAGGUACGCUCUUGAUGGUGAAGUCCCUCGCGGAUGGAGCUGACGAGAGUCGCAGAUACCAGGUGGCUGCAACUGUUUAUUAAAAACACAGCACUGUGCAAAAUCGCAAGAUGACGUAUACGGUGUGACGCCUGCCCGGUGCCGGAAGGUUAAUUGAUGGGGUUAGCGCAAGCGAAGCUCUUGAUCGAAGCCCCGGUAAACGGCGGCCGUAACUAUAACGGUCCUAAGGUAGCGAAAUUCCUUGUCGGGUAAGUUCCGACCUGCACGAAUGGCGUAAUGAUGGCCACGCUGUCUCCACCCGAGACUCAGUGAAAUUGAAAUCGCUGUGAAGAUGCAGUGUACCCGCGGCUAGACGGAAAGACCCCGUGAACCUUUACUACAGCUUGGCACUGAACAUUGAACCUACAUGUGUAGGAUAGGUGGGAGGCUAUGAAGACGUGACGCCAGUUGCGUUGGAGCCGUCCUUGAAAUACCACCCUUGUAUGUUUGAUGUUCUAACUUAGACCCAUUAUCUGGGUUGAGGACAGUGCCUGGUGGGUAGUUUGACUGGGGCGGUCUCCUCCCAAAGAGUAACGGAGGAGCACGAAGGUGGGCUAAUCACGGUUGGACAUCGUGAGGUUAGUGCAAUGGCAUAAGCCCGCUUAACUGCGAGAAUGACGGUUCGAGCAGGUGCGAAAGCAGGUCAUAGUGAUCCGGUGGUUCUGUAUGGAAGGGCCAUCGCUCAACGGAUAAAAGGUACUCCGGGGAUAACAGGCUGAUACCGCCCAAGAGUUCAUAUCGACGGCGGUGUUUGGCACCUCGAUGUCGGCUCAUCACAUCCUGGGGCUGAAGUCGGUCCCAAGGGUAUGGCUGUUCGCCAUUUAAAGUGGUACGCGAGCUGGGUUUAGAACGUCGUGAGACAGUUCGGUCCCUAUCUGCCGUGGGCGUUGGAAGAUUGAAGGGGGCUGCUCCUAGUACGAGAGGACCGGAGUGGACGAACCUCUGGUGUUCGGGUUGUGUCGCCAGACGCAUUGCCCGGUAGCUAAGUUCGGAAUUGAUAAGCGCUGAAAGCAUCUAAGCGCGAAGCGAGCCCUGAGAUGAGUCUUCCCUGAUACUUUAAGUAUCCUAAAGGGUUGUUCGAGACUAGAACGUUGAUAGGCAGGGUGUGUAAGCGUUGUGAGGCGUUGAGCUAACCUGUACUAAUUGCCCGUGAGGCUUAACCAUACAACACCCAAGGGGUUUUGUA
rnacentral:rRNA from 1 species